GAAAGAUCCUGCUCUACAUAAGACAAUUAGAGCUGGCUUAGAGAAAACUCACUGAUCAGACAGGCAUGGUUCCACAACAGCACUACUCAGCAUUCCCAUCCUAAAGUCAUACCCAGCUGCCACUUAGAACAAGGAAUAAACAGAGAAGAGAAAUUGGGAAUUUGAAGCCUGCAAGGUUCCUGGCUGUUAAGAGAAUAAACAGAGAUUUGGACCCCACAAGCAAGCCCAGAUCCGAGGGGACAAUGCAAGUGAGAUUCCAGACAUUUUCUCAAUACCAAGAAGAUUGGAUUCAUUGGAAUAUAACUCUGACAGAAGUCUUGCAAGGAAACUUUAAUUUUAGUUCAAACUCCAUUAAUUUAAGAUAUCCCUGGAAGAUGUGGACAAGGCUCACAGUGAAUCUCACCAUGGUGCCAUGAACUCUGUGCUCCCAGCAAGCUCUGUUGAACGCUGCACAUCACAGCAUCUGAACACCUCAUCUCUACCUGGGUUUUGUUCUCUUCCCCUCUAAAAUCCCAGUGUUCAUACAAACUCUUGCACCCAGUCACUGCUGGUUCUGUAAAUCAUUUCUCAAAGCAAUCUGAACUACUAAAAAUCAAAUCACAUUAA